rnacentral:rRNA from 1 species
CUGAAACUCAAAGGAAUUGACGGGGGCCCGCACAAGCGGUGGAGCAUGUGGUUUAAUUCGACGCAACGCGAAGAACCUUACCAAGACUUGACAUCCUGCUGACGUAUUUUGUAAUGAGAUAUUUCCUUCGGGACAGCAGAGACAGGUGGUGCAUGGUUGUCGUCAGCUCGUGUCGUGAGAUGUUGGGUUAAGUCCCGCAACGAGCGCAACCCUUAUUUUUAGUUGCCAGCAGUAAGAUGGGCACUCUAAAGAGACUGCCAGUGAGAAACUGGAGGAAGGUGGGGAUGACGUCAAAUCAUCAUGCCCCUUAUGUUUUGGGCUACACACGUGCUACAAUGGGCGGUACAGAGGGAAGCGAAGCCGCGAGGUGGAGCGAAUCCCAGAAAGCCGCUCUCAGUUCGGAUUGCAGGCUGCAACUCGCCUGCAUGAAGUCGGAAUCGCUAGUAAUCGCAGGUCAGCAUACUGCGGUGAAUACGUUCCCGGGCCUUGUACACACCGCCCGUCACACCACGAAAGUUGGUAACACCC